CACCAUCAACUAAGAAAAACAUGGUUCACUACUUAAAUAUUUUCUCUGCAAAGUAAUUUUAACAUAUAAUUAAGAAACAUAUUGUAAAUAACACAUACUGCAUGCAUAUGCAGGUUCUAUGUUGAUGAUUUUCCUAUCAGAGUGUACAAGAACAAUGAAGCCAGAGGAAUCCCAUACCCAAAGAUGCAAGCAAUGGGAGUGUACUCAACAUUAUGGGAAGCAGAUAAUUGGGCAACAAGAGGUGGUUUAGAGAAAAUUGAUUGGAGCAAAGCACCAUUCUACGCUUACUACAAGGACUUUGACAUUGAAGGUUGCGCAGUGCCAGGACCUGCAAACUGUGCCUCAAAUGUCCAGAGAAACUGGUGGGAAGGAGCUGAAUAUCAAGCUCUUAGUGCCAUUGAAGCCAGAAGGUACAGGUGGGUUCGUAUGAACCAUGUGAUCUAUGACUAUUGUCAAGAUAGGUCAAGGUUCCCAGUGACCCCACUUGAGUGCCAUGCUGGCAUUUAAGCACAAAGUUUCAUUCAUCAUUCAACUCGAUCGUCGGCAAAUUCAGUGGUUCACAUCAUUCAUACCACGCUUUUUACGUACAUGUGGUGUCCUAGCUUUACUGUUUAUACAAAUUGUUUAUAUAUAUCAAGCCUUAUAUAAAUAAGAAAGGGGCAUAAAACUAAAGUCAAAUCCUUUUCUGGCUCUUUGUCAUUCUAUUUUAGUGGGCAUUGUUGUUUGUCGUGUAAGAAAGCUGGUGCAAUGUGCACCAUUAUUGUGCCUGAUUGAUUAAUGAUAUUUAAUUAUAUUGAUGUGAUAUAGCAAGUCUCAAUUUAUGUGGAAUAAAGUCUUCCUCGGUUUUUAGCUUAGCAAAAGGACAAGAAAAUUGUUGGUGCUUUAUAACAUAACAUUAACAUGCAGGGUUUUCAAGUGUGAGUUUAAAUUCUUGCAUGAGUAAAUUGUAAGAGUAUGGAAAUAAU
rnacentral:lncRNA from 1 species